AGGGGUGUAGCUCAGUGGUAGAGGUCUGGCUUAAGCAUGCAAGAAGCCCUGAGUUCAAUUCUCAGCAUCACAA
rnacentral:tRNA from 1 species